AAGACCCAUCAAAAAGAUCCAAACUCUUCUGGUAGGAGUGGGAAAUGCUUGAAAAUAUGAGGAAGAUACAGCAGCAGGAACGCGAUGCUUUUGAAGCAAUGAUAAUGGCUGGUUAUGUUCUUGAAAACCAUAUUAUCAAUAAUAGCUUUCUUAAUCAGAAAUCCCCUAUUACCAGCAACCCUAUGCCUCUGACAAGUGAUAUCGUGCCAAUUCCCAGCAAACCACCUGAUGAAAAAAAGGAAAAUUUGGUGGCUGGCAAGGAUCUAAAGCAAAAAGGGGUUCUAGCCCCAACUAAGGUACAUACUUUGGGGAAGGGAACUAAUGCCCAUGCUUAAUCUUGGGUCUGGUGACCUAACAUAUCUCAUCGUCGUGUCUAAUAAAUCUGAUAAUUUGGAACUGCGUGGGUCUUGGAGGUCAAAUAUUUAUUUCUUUGAUUAAGGAUACGAAAAUAGAAUAACAUGUUAGCUUUUUCAUCUUACUGGAAACCUACAUCAGUAGAGACAGAGGUAGGGCUAUUUGAAAAAAUUUGGAUUUUGACGCUAGUUUUAUCGAGGAGGCAAGAGGCUACUCAGGCAGUAUAUGGUGCCUUUAGGAUCCUGGAAUUUGGAAGCUUGCUAUGGAAGUCCCCAGAGGGCUAAUGGAAAAAUUCUCUGGAAAAGUCUCAGAGCCAUUAGUUUAAAUACUUUUUCUGCCUUGGUGUUCCUUGGGUGACUUCAAUGCUCUGCUCCACAAGUAUGAAUGCAGGGGAGGUACCGAAAAUAAUGAUAGAGGUGCGUGCGAGGAUUUUCAAACUUGCAUUUUCGAUUACGGAUUAAUGGACCUCGGCUACUCUGGUUGGCCCUUUACCUGGAGAAGAGGUAAUUUGAUGGAACGACUUGAUAGGGGUUUGGGUAAUUUGGACUGGAAUAUUACCUUCCCAGAAGCUAGGAUAAUGCACUUUCCCAUGUUCAAGUCUGACCAUUCUCCCCUGUGCCUUCAGUUCUCGUCUUCGAUGCCGACUAACAGAAAAAAGAGACCAUUCAGAUUCACUGCCGCGUGGCUCACUCAUCCUGGUUUUGGAAACCUUGUCAAUAAUAAUUAGAUUAUGCAGGGGUCUUGGAAUAUGGGUAUGGUUAUUUUUCAAAAUGCUUUGAAGGACUGGAAUUAUAGGGUGUUUGGUAAUAUCUUAAAAAAAAACAAAACAAAAUCAUAAGAAGAUUGCAAGGGAUUACAACUAACAUAAAAUCCUAUUGGAAAUAAUAUCUUCUUGGAGAAACUCCAAAAAGAUCUCUAAGGGGAGUAUGAGGAGAUACUUAUUCAAGAAGAGAUGUUAUGGUUACAGAAUUCUCUGUACAAAUGGAUUAAUUUGGGUGACAGAAAUACUAAGUACUUCUACGGUAUCACUAUGGCUAGAAGAUGGAGAAACAAGGUGACUUCUCUUUAAGAUAGUGAUGAGAAUCGGAUCUCGGAUGAUGAUGCUCUUGAAAAUAUGGUGACAACUUUCUAUUUUGAGUUAUACAAGGAUGACCUUCCUGACUGCCCGUAUAUUCUCCAUGGUAACUUUCCUACUCUUUUUCAUGAUGAGCUGAUCAAUAUUGAGAAUAAUGUAUCUAUCUUGGAAAUUAAAAAUUCUGUUUUUAGUAUUGGUGGUCUGAAAGCACCAGGUAGAGAUGGUAUACAUGCCAUUUUUUUUAUCAUAAUCAAUGGGAUAAAUUCGGUUCUGACCUAUGUAAUCUGGUGAAAGCUAUUUUUCUUGAACCUUGGAGAAUCAGCGAGGUCAGUAAAAUGUUUAUUACUUUAAUUUCAAAGGUGGAGCUAGUCUCAAGCCUAAAACGCAUGAGAACUAUAAGCUUAUGCAACAUUUCAUUCAAAGUGGUCACCAAGAUCCUUGCUAACCGAUUGAGAAUGGUUAUGGAAAAGCUUGUUAAACCCACCCAAUGUAGCUUUGUUCCUAGAAGACAAAGUUCUGACAACAUUACCAUCACUCAAGAAGUUAUUCAUUCCAUGAGGACAAAGAAAGGAAACAAAGGUUGGAUGGCUAUAAAAAUCGACUUGGAAAAAGGUUACGACAGACUCAAAUGGAGUUUUAUAAAAGACAUUCUGGUUGACAUCAGACUCCCUGCUCACUUUAUUAAUUUGAUCUGUACGUGAAUUUUUACAGCCAGGAUGCGGGUCUUAUAGAAUGGUGAAACCUUGGAUGAAUUUCUUCCUUCCAGAGGUAUCCGACAAGGAGACCCCCUAUCGCCUUAUAUUUUUGUUCUUUGUAUGGAACGUCUCACCCAGUUUAUCAGCGCAGCCGUGGAAAACCACUUUUGGAAGCCCAUAUAGCUUAAUCAGGAUGGCCCCGAUCUAUCCCACCUUUACUUCGCAGAUGACCUCAUUCUCUUUGCCGAAACUAGCAUGGACCAAGCAAAGAUUAUCAACAAGAUCCUUGAAGAAUUUUGCAAAAGUUUCGAGCAGAAAGUAAAUAAUGAUAAGACUUGAAGUUUUCUUUCCAAUAAUGUGGGCAACAAUGUCAGAUAGGAGAUUAGUGAAGCACUCCAUUUCACAAGAACGGAUGAUCUUGGAAAAUAUCUCGGAAUCCCCCUUCUUCACACAAGAACCAACCGCAACACAUACAAUGAGAUUAUUGGCAAACUCAACUCUAAGCUAAAUGGAUGGAAAGCUUCCACUCUAUCUUUUGCAGGAGCUUUCUUUGGGAAGAAAUGGAUCAAUCAUGAAAAGUUCAUCUCCUUAACUGAAAGAUUAUUAGUUAACCUAAAACUAAUGGUAGGCUUGGUAUCCAACAUGCCAAGGAGCUUAACCAUGCCUUCAUGAUAAAAAUUGGUUGGAGCCUUAUAGAAAAAAGAGAUGCUCUUUGGGUCAAAGUCCUCCGAUCAAAAUAUAAUUGUGGAAGUGACAUUCUCCCAAGAGUGGAAAGAAAGAAUAAGCAAUCAAAUCUCUGAAAAGGAGUGUGUGCUUCUUGGUCUGAUGUUCAAACGAAUUCUAUCUGGAACAUUGGUGAUGGGAACAAUAUAAACUUUUAGAACCACCAAUAGGUGCCAAGUCUCGGUCCUCUUAACAAUUAUGUUGCACAAGUAAGUCAGUCUUAUCAUUCAAAUGAUGCAUUAAUAGAUUUUCUUUUGGUUUCAGGUGAGUGGGAUGUCGAUGAACUUCAAAGAUGGCUUCUGGAUCCAGUGGUGAACAGAAUCCUAACCAUUUUUCCACCAUCCUCGAGGAAUGGUCAAGACCAGAUUUCUUGGGUAGCUUCAUCAGAUGGCACUUUCAAUCUGAAAUCAGCCUAUUCUUCGCUCUAAAAUAACAUAGGAGUUGCAUAUCAUCUUUUCAAGCUUGCUUGGAAGUGGAAUUGCCUUGAAAGAAUUCGAUCCUUUAUUUGGCUGGUUGCUCAUGAAGCUAUUCUGACGAAUGUGGAAUGGAAAAGAAGACACUUAACUGUUGAUGCAAGAUGUCAUCAAUGUAACUUUGUUACUGAAGAUGCUCUGCAUGUUCUCCGUAAUUGUUCUUUUGCAACCACCAUUUAGAAUCUCUUACAAGCCAACCAGAAGGUUCAAGACUUAUUUAACCUGAAUAUCCAGGAGUGGCUUUUGCAAAAUCUCUCACCAAAUGAUUGGAACACUAUGUUUGGAGUGACUAUAUCCUCCUUAUGGUACCAACGUAACAAACUGUUCUUUGAAGGAGUUGGUACCUCUCCCCUGGCAGUUGUGGAGUCAAUCAAAAUGCGGGUUAUAGAGAUUACAAAACUAUUGGACUUGAGGAUUGUUCCAAAGAAUACGUACCAAUCUUCCUAUGAUACCCUAAUUUGCAGGUUACCCCCUCCGAACCAUUGGAUAAAGUAAACGUUGAUGGCUCUUUUUUUGUGCAAAAAAUAAAUGCAGCUUGUGGUGGCGUUUUCUGAGACAACUUGGGAAGAUUCAUCAAUGGCUUUUCUUGUAAUCUAGACAGCUGCUCCAUCAUGCAUGCGGAGCUCUGAACAAUAAUUAGAGGCUUGCAAAUUACAUCAGCAAA